UACGGGGGGGGCAAGCGUUGUUCGGAAUUACUGGGCGUAAAGGGCGCGUAGGCGGCCUGCUAAGUCGGACGUGAAAUCCCUCGGCUCAACCGGGGAACUGCGUCCGAUACUGGCGAGGCUUGAAUCCGGGAGAGGGAUGUGGAAUUCCAGGUGUAGCGGUGAAAUGCGUAGAUAUCGUAAGGAAGACCAGUGGCGAAGGCGGGUCUCUGGACAGUUCCUGACGCUGAGGCACGAAGGUCAGGGGAGCAAACGGG
rnacentral:rRNA from 1 species